GCUGAAGUAGCUCAGCUGGUAGAGCAGCGCAUUCGUAAUGCGCGGGUCGGGGGUUCGAGUCCCUUCUUCAGCA
rnacentral:tRNA from 1 species